rnacentral:rRNA from 1 species
ACCAGACUCCUACGGGAGGCAGCAGUGGGGGAUAUUGCACAAUGGGGGAAACCCUGAUGCAGCGACGCCGCGUGUGGGAAGACGGUCCUCUGGAUUGUAAACCACUGUCCCCAGGGACGAAAAUGACGGUACCUGACCAAGAAGCCCCGGCUAACUACGUGCCAGCAGCCGCGGUAAUACGUAGGGGGCAAGCGUUAUCUGGAUUUACUGGGUGUAAAGGGAGCGUAGACGGCAAGGCAAGUCUGGAGUGAAAGCCCGUGGCUCAACCACGGGACUGCUUUGGAAACUGUGUUGCUGGAGUGCAGGAGGGGUAAGCGGAAUUCCUAGUGUAGCGGUGAAAUGCGUAGAUAUUAGGAGGAACACCGGUGGCGAAGGCGGCUUACUGGACUGUAACUGACGUUGAGGCUCGAAGGCGUGGGGAGCAAACAGGAUUAGAUACCCGAGUA